GGAUUAGAAACCCCGGUAGUCCACGCCGUAAACGAUGAAUGCUAGCCGUUGUCAGGCUUGCCUGUCAGUGGCGCAGCUAACGCAUUAAGCAUUCCGCCUGGGGAGUACGGUCGCAAGAUUAAAACUCAAAGGAAUUGACGGGGGCCCGCACAAGCGGUGGAGCAUGUGGUUCAAUUCGAAGCAACGCGAAGAACCUUACCAGCCCUUGACAUGUCCUCUAUGGAUUCCAGAGAUGGAGUCCUUCACUUCGGGUGGGAGAACACAGGUGCUGCAUGGCUGUCGUCAGCUCGUGUCGUGAGAUGGUUGGGUUAACGUCCCG
rnacentral:rRNA from 1 species